rnacentral:sRNA from 1 species
GUUGCCAUCGCGUCUCCGCCUGCAGCGUCUGUCCGAUCUUUCCUGUUUCCCCCACUCCAUUCCCUUCCUAUCCAUCCCACAGCCAGAGGAAGGGGAUGGCCUCCUUGGGCGGCCCCACCUUUACCCUACCCCAGGUGCAGACAUCUGGAGGAGAGAGUCGGAGAGCAGAAACCACUUGGCUCCCAGACAAUUCCCCUACAGGCUUUGGGCCUGG